rnacentral:rRNA from 1 species
UACGUAGGGUGCGAGCGUUGUCCGGAAUUACUGGGCGUAAAGAGCUCGUAGGCGGUUUGUCACGUCGUCUGUGAAAUCCUAGGGCUUAACCCUGGACGUGCAGGCGAUACGGGCUGACUUGAGUACUACAGGGGAGACUGGAAUUUCUGGUGUAGCGGUGGAAUGCACAGAUAUCAGGAAGAACACCGAUGGCGAAGGCAGGUCUCUGGGUAGUAACUGACGCUGAGGAGCGAAAGCAUGGGUAG